UUCCUUCGGUUUGAGCUCAAUUGGAAAUAUGAUUAGCAUAUAGAUUUUUCCUGCUUCUGGCAAGGAUUUUUACACUGGAAAAAAGAGGCUAUACGUUUUGUAGAAAACUCAAGGUCUGACCCACCAAACUCCACUAUUGCCUUCCUGGACCAAUAUCCUUCUUCAAUAGCCAUUUUAUACAACGUUUUCUUCUGGUAAUGAGAAGUUAAUUGCAAGGCUUUGAUACUUUUGGAUGGGGAUGCAGUAAAAUUGAACAAACACAGCUUAUCCUACAUUCUGAAGAUGGGGCACAUUUAUCAGGAAUAAGAAACAGACACGUGGACUAAAAAUAGGGAAAUGAUGUCAAGUAUUGGCAUGGGUUUCAUAUUUUCCAAGAAACAUGAGAAGAACGGGCCUACCACACUCUUUCAUUGCUUGAGCUGGCAUGGUGGUUAAAUUUUUCUAAAACAGUCAUAUUAAUGUGUUCAAAAAUCCACUGCUGAGUCUCAGAGAGAGGGUCACAUCUG